CAGGAAAUCUGAGCUGGGUUCCCGAACACACCACAUAAUGUGUCAUCCAGACAACAGAUGGAUUCUUAAGCUUGGCCAACUGGGAUACUGGAAGCCAGGGAGGGCGAGGGACGCCCGGCUCCACUGGGCAGCUGGGCCCGCUGCAGACGCCAGAUGGGCUGAGCGAAGAGAGACCGGGCCCCAGAGAGAAAAUUGAGGCCCAGAGUAAGGAUGUGAUUUGCCUGAAGUCAUUUUAAAAAGUGGCAGAGUCGAACAGCACCAGCCUCCUGGCCCUGGCAUGCCAGCACUCAGAAGCACCAAGCAUAUCCAAGAAGUCAGAGAGAACAUACAGUUUGGUUUCAGGAUGCGCAUAUGCUGAUAAAUAAAGAAAUGCUGGACUCCCC